AGGAGACGAGAAAAAGGGGGAAAGCGCUAGUAAAAUAAAAUCGAAAAGGGUGAUUUCUCGAAGCCUAAGCGGCCUCCCCAUCGCCACUCCGGCACCACAUGCCUCCUGUCUCCGCCGCCGCCGCCGCCGCCACGAAGUCUGUACCCGCCUUCGCUGCGCGCCCCAGCAUCCGGCGACGCUGCCGCCUGUGGCGCUAGCCCCAACAUAGGCGCCUUCUGACCGCCGGUGGUAAUCGAGCGCGGGAGGGUCAGCGAUGCCGCCGGCCCGGAAGAAGCGCGGAGCGGCGGCGGCCGCCGCAGCCGCCGCCGCCGCGGCUGCGCAGUGGAAGGUGGGCGACCUCGUGCUCGCUAAGAUGAAGGGCUUCCCCCCUUGGCCGGCCAUGAUAAGUGAGCCACAUCAAUGGGACCUUUCUCCGGUUGGAAAGAAGUUUUUGGUGUACUUUUAUGGAACUAAAGAGAUUGCUUUCUGUAACUACACUGACCUUGAGGCAUUCACGGAAGAGAAAAAGAAAUCUUUACUGGCUAAGCGAUAUGGCAGAGGAGCAGAUUUUGUCCGAGCAGUCAAGGAAAUAGUUGAGAUUUAUGAUUCUUUAUUAAAGACAGAGAAUAAUAAUAAGAGUGGUUUGACUAAAAAUAAUGUGAGGCCGGAUGUCAAAAAUCUCCUCAAUAACAGUAGCAGUUUAGAUACCGGAGGUCCUGAGGAUGGUUCUGAUCUGGUCAGUGACAACAAGAUGGAGGACCGGCCUACCUCUUCCAUGGACCACAGCAUGAUCAGUACUACUGGACCUAAUAUCAUUACAAUGGAGGGUGAGUGCUGUGUUGUGAAUUCUGCACAUGGUGAGCCUAUUCAAAAGUUACCUGUCCUCGAUGAACUUAGACAUUCUCCUUUGCAUGCUAGUUCAUGUUCUAAGAAGAGGCAAAAAGAUGCACAGCAACAAGAUUCUUGCACACAUAAUAAUUUCAAAUUGCCACGGAGGUCAAAAAAUUCAUCAGGUUCCAAAUCAAGAACUAGUCAGGACUCUAGUGGGCUGAUGAAUGGUACCAAUCUGCCUUCUGUUGAUUUGAUUCCUAGCGACAAGCAGGAAGACUCUGCCCGGCAUAAGAGCAUUGAUGAUGACAAAUCUAACUCAUGUUCCCCUUCUGCUACAAAGGAAGUUAUUCUGUCACAUUCCAGUCAAGGAACCUGCAUUCAACUUGGAGCCUCUGAGAUCAGUAAUGAUGAUAAAAAACUGAGUAUUGCAACAAAAAUUGUACAAAGUACUUGUUGUAUUGAUGUGCCUCAAACUGAAGUCAGGGAUAAAGAAGUCAAGCUGAAUGAAACGCAUGAUCUUCCCAUGAGCACAACUCUAACUUUCAAAAGAAAAAGAAGGCCAAACACUAAUUGUGCUAAUAAUCCUGCCAUUAGUGUGGUAACAAAUAUGGAUAGCGAAUUGCAACCAAAGUCAAGUGGAAAUCUUGUAGAUUCUCCGAAUUCAAGUAAUGAAAUUAGCAAGUCUGGUGGAGAUGACCACUUGCCAUUGGUCAAAAGGGCAAGGGUCCGGAUGGAAAGAUCUAUACUGGAUAAUGCCACAAUUGAUGAGCCUGAUGUUUCUUAUAGCAAAAUGGAGUUGGCUGAACAUGCAGAUCAAUGUUAUAAGUCUGGCAAGUCUGCACCAUAUGGAGAAGAUCAUUCCGCUAUUGGGGUACCUCCUGGCAUAGAUCCUUCACCCAAAAUAGACCUGUCUGUUCCAUCAGGAGAAGUUCAGACUGCUUGCAAGCAUAGAGAAUACCAACCAAAGGUUUUGACAUUGGAUGUAGAAGCUGCUUUGCCUCCAUCAAAACGCCUUCAUCGUGCUUUAGAAGCUAUGUCUGCUAAUGUUUCUGAAAAUAUUAGUAAUCUUCCUGAAGUUACAAAGUCUAAGGAGAUUAUCCUGAAAGGUUGCACAGUAGCAGGGCCCCCUUCUAAUAACUCUGCAGAUACACUUGUUAAGAGUCCAAAAUCUGCAAUAGCCAAAAGCCCCAAAGUAUCUUUGAGUGCAGAUUCUUUGGAUGCCCCAACUGGCCAAAAGCAUAUCUCACGACAUAUCAUGUUGAACAAGGAUGCCGUCUCUACUGUCCCUCUGGAUUUGAAAAAUGAGGUCAGUGAUAGUCUACUGAAAGACAAAGUCAGUGAUAGUCUACUGAAAGACAAAGUUAGUGAAGAAAACCACAUGGACGGCGACAACAUUCCUGAUUUGUUUGUUCAUAAUAGGAUUGAUAACAAUAUCUGUGGAAAAGCUCCAGCCUAUUCUGUGAAAUUGAAAGAACCUGCCUUUGUAUCAUUUGAUCAGCCACCUUCGCCAAAAACAAGUGGAAAUGAGCCUGUGGAAUCAAUCAGCGGCUCUACUAAUGGUUUUGGUAAAAAUAUUGAUGGCUCUGCUGAGCCAGUUAGCCAAGCAAAUGUCGUUGUCUCAGAUACUAAUGGAAGCUGCAAUCCUGAGCCACAUGAUGAGCCUGUUUUAGCUGAACCAAUUGUUUGUGACAGAACAAGUGCCUCUUCUUUGGUUUCUAAAGUUUCAUGUAUUCAUUCUGAUGCAAGCACCAGGACAUGUGAAGCGCAUAGUUCUUCAUUCAUUGCACCGGAAGAACUCAACAACAGUUUAAGCCUAACAGAUAAGAGCUUAUCUCCAGACUCGACGCCUAUGAAAGAACUAGUUGCUGAUGGAUGUGCUCAUAGAUUCUCUCGAUCAAAUUCUUUCAUGGAAAAUUUUCUAGAUUCUAAGGUUAUUUCCAAGUCUUUGGUGAAUGUACCUAAACUCAAGGAAGGAUCAAGUGGCCGGUGUUCACCUUCAAAUCGUACGAUGAGGUUUGCAUCAGAUCGGGUUCAUACUCAACAAAAUAGUGCCAAGAUUCCUUUUGAUAACCUGCAACCAAAGGGCUUGAACAAAUUAGCAUGUCGAAAUGAGGCCCAUUCAGCACGGAGGGUGUUUGAAGCUUUUGUUGGUACACUAACAAGAACAAAAGAAAGUAUAGCCCGUGCAACACAUCUUGCUCUGGAAUGUGCUAAACAUGGCAUUGCUGGGGAGGUAAUGGAUAUCACCAUUGAACACAUGGAAAAGGAAACUAAUUUAUAUAAAAGGGUGGAUCUGUUCUUCCUUGUCGAUUCAAUAAUCCGAUACUGCCGCAAUCAGAAAGGUGGACCUGGCGAUGUCUAUCCUUCUCUUAUCCAGGCAGUCCUACCACGAAUAAUAUAUGCUUCCGCACCGCCUGGAAAUUCUUCAUGGGAGAAUCGGAGGCAGUGUCUUAAGGUUUUGAGACUCUGGCUUGAGAGAAAAACCAUUUCAGAAUACAUCAUCCGCCAUCACAUUAAAGAGCUUGAAGCUCUUAACGAGGCAUCAUUCGGAAGCUCUCACCGUCCUUCAGGUACAGAGAGAGCUCUGAAUGACCCUUUGCGUGAUGAUGAAGCAUUUCUUGUUGAUGAGUAUGGAAGCAACGCUGGUUUUCACCUUCAAAAUUUAAUUUCCACAAAACUACUUGAAGAUGAGGAAGGAAGGUCCUCUGAGGAGAGGAGCUUUGAAGCUGUUACUCCUGGACAUGAAGUUACUGGUGCUAGUGAGCUAGAUACAUCUGAAUUGCAUGCUGUGAAGCAUCAACUCGUCUUGGAAGAAGUGGACGGUGAACUUGAGAUGGAGGAUGCAGCCCCAUAUUCUGGGGCUGAAGCCAGCUGCACGAGCCACCAAGAUGUAUCUAAUGCUAGCUGCACAGGAACUGCCCAGCAUCUCAAUUCUAUUCCACCCCUACCUUAUGACAAACCUCCAUCUCCUCCCCCAUUGCCAUCAUCACCGCCACCUCUGCCACGUCCCCCCUCUUCUGCCUCUCAAGGUUCACAUGUGCAAGGAGCAUUGCUUGUGGCAGCUGACUGUGUUGAGCAACAUCGUCCAGGAGCCACCUACAAUGUUGAAGGCCAACAGCCUUAUUCUGUUGCAAACAACCACGACAACAUGGAUGCAUGUGUAGCUAAUCCGUAUGCCUUGCAGCCUCCAGUAUCCUAUAAUUCUGGAUAUGUAGGACAUACAAAUCAGAUCCUUCCACCGCCACCGCCACCGCCACCACCACCACCACAGCCAGUUGCACCAUUCCAUCCUUCUGGACCCCAUGGCAACUUAUGUGGGUCCUCAGUACCAAAUCAUGGAAAUAACUAUCACCAACCACCAUCGGCACCACUACCUAAUAAUGCAUAUCAUUUACAGCCACCACCCCAUCCACCUGCUCCAAAUCAGUUCCUAUAUCCACCUGAACCUGAACAGAGAACACAACCUUGGAAUUAUAAUCCUUCCUAUCCUCAGAGAUAUCAGUAUGGUGGACAUGACAUAGGACACCAUGAAUACGAUAGGAGACACUUUGAUGAUAGAGGGCACCACUUUGAUGAUAGGGGGCAUCCCUUCAAUGGUGGAGGGCAUUGCUUUGAUGAUGGAGGGUAUCAAUUCGAUGAUAGAUGGCACCACUUUCAUGAUAGAGGGCCUCACUUCAGCGACAGAGCAGUUAGGGGACAAAUGCACCAUGACAUUAUAGAUGGAGGGAGGUUUCCUCCAUACUUUCCUCCAGGUCCCCCGUUUCCAGAGCACUUUGAAGCGCCACCCACCCCAUUGCACUGUGGACAACCAUCAGAUCCUCCACCAGGUCCAUGUUCUGGGUGGUCUAUGCCUCAUAGGAGAUCCAAGUACCCUCUUGCUUCUAGACACUCGAUGGAGCCACCAAUUUCCCAUGGAGGAGGUUGGAGGAGGCAUGUACGACGCGAUUAUGAUAGAUAGCAUUGAUGAUUGGGAUCGGAAGCCAGGGGCAAAUUUACCUUGGUUCAUGGGUGUUCGGCGAACACCCAAAAAUUUUGGGAAAAAACCAGUGAUCAUUUACUUUUAGAAGGACUGCUAUUCAUAGAGUGAUGAAUCUGUGGUGCAAGGCGGUACAAAUUGCAAGUAGUAUCUCUUUUUCUGAAGAUAAUGAUGCCUUGUUAUGUCAAUAUAGUGUUUCUGUUUUCAGGGCAAGAGCUGGAGGAGCAUGAAGGAACUGGAACACAGGAUCAUGCGGACUUUGCAGAAUUGGAAACACGUAUGCAAGGCUACAAACUUGGAGAAGAUGGAUAGCUGUAUCGGACUAUUGGAGAUGAAGGCUGCAGCAUCGCUGACGCCUGACGAUAGCGUCAGGUUCCAGGGGGUUGCAAGGAACGUCAGGCCAGGCGUCUUCGAGUACUCGGCGGUAUGAUGAGAUUGUGAGCAGAGAGUAGUGUAGUUUUUUUUAUGUUUAGGUUUGGGGUGUUCGUAAGACGGGACUGUAUUGUCUGUGUUGAUGGUUUUUCCUGACUCUGCUCGCGGAGGAACCGGCUCUGUUUUACUGCACGUGGUUGUUCGCCCACCCACAAAUUACUGUUCAUGACACUGUUCAUCAGUGCAUUUCCUCAACAACGGCAGAGGAUUCGAGUCCGCUUACAGA